rnacentral:rRNA from 1 species
CUUGCUAUGGUAUAACUUAGUGGCAGACGGGUGAGUAAUGUAUAGGAAUCUACCUAGUAGUACGGAAUAAUUGUUGGAAACGACAACUAAUACCGUAUACGCCCUACGGGGGAAAAAUUUAUUGCUAUUAGAUGAGCCUAUAUUAGAUUAGCUAGUUGGUAGAGUAAUAGCCUACCAAGGCAAUGAUCUAUAGCUGAUCUGAGAGGAUGAUCAGCCACACUGGAACUGAGAUACGGUCCAGACUCCUACGGGAGGCAGCAGUGGGGAAUAUUGGACAAUGGGCGAAAGCCUGAUCCAGCCAUGCCGCAUGAGUGAAGAAGGCCUUUGGGUUGUAAAGCUCUUUUAGUGAGGAAGAUAAUGACGGUACUCACAGAAGAAGUCCUGGCUAACUCCGUGCCAGCAGCCGCGGUAAUACGGGGAGGGCUAGCGUUAUUCGGAACUAUUGGGCGUAAAGGGCGCGUAGGCUGGUUAAUAAGUUAAAAGUGAAAUCCCGAGGCUUAACCUUGGAAUUGCUUUUAAAACUAUUAAUCUAGAGAUUGAAAGAGGAUAGAGGAAUUCCUGAUGUAGAGGUAAAAUUCGUAAAUAUUAGGAGGAACACCAGUGGCGAAGGCGUCUAUCUGGUUCAAAUCUGACGCUGAAGCGCGAAGGCGUGGGGAGCAAACAGGAUUAGAUACCCUGGUAGUCCACGCUGUAAACGAUGAAUGUUAAAUAUGGGAAGUUUACUUUCUGUAUUACAGCUAACGCGUUAAACAUUCCGCCUGGGGACUACGGUCGCAAGAUUAAAACUCAAAGGAAUUGACGGGG